rnacentral:rRNA from 1 species
AUGGAGAAUGUUGUAGUGUUGAUUGUUGGCGCUGGGCCAGCCGGCCUUGCAACAGCAGCAUGCCUUAAUCAAUUCUCAAUUCCCUAUGUCACUGUCGAGCGUGAAAGCUGCAGCGCGUCACUUUGGCGCAACCGCGCCUAUGAUCGGCUCAAGCUGCAUCUUGCAAAGGAGUUCUGUGAGUUGCCACACAUGUCAUACCCAGUAGAUGCACCAACAUACAUACCAAAAACCUUGUUUGUGAAAUACUUGGAUGACUAUGUUGAGCGUUUCAAUAUUCAACCCAAGUAUCUCACUAGUGUGGAGUCAUCCACAUAUGACAAUGACGAAAAAUGUUGGUCCAUUGUGGCACAUGACAUGGCAAAGGGCACAAUAGUCAGGUUCACAACAAAGUUUCUUGUGGUGGCCAGUGGUGAGAAUAGUGCAGAGAAUAUUCCAAUGAUCCCCGGACUACAAAGUUUUUCGGGUGAUGUCGUCCACUCAUCAAGCUACAAGUCAGGCAAGAACUACUCUGGCAUGAAUGUAUUGGUCGUUGGAUCUGGCAACUCUGGAAUGGAAAUUGCUUAUGACCUUGCGACCCAUGGUGCCAAUACCUCAAUUGUUAUACGAAGCCCGAUUCAUGUAAUGACAAAGGAAUUAAUUCGG